ensembl:lncRNA
GGUGCCCGCCUUGCUUCGCAGCCAUCGAAACCUCGGCGGAGCUGGCGCGCGCCGGGGACGGGCGAGGGGCGCCGCCAAGCAGCGAUGCCGACCACGGGCGCCAGGGCAGAAGCCGGGCCCCGGGUCUCAGCCCCGGGUCUUGGCCGGGAAGGGUCUGCGGAGGGCGUUCCGGGGGGCGGGGCCAGGGUGCAGCUAGCCCGCGCCCUGCAGGGGGCGAUCCAGGCACGGCGUAGACCCGUCCUCGCGGGUCCGGAAGGGGAAGAAGCGAGGCCAGGGGUCCGGCGGCCCGGCGAGCGGACGUGCGCGCGCGCCUGCGCGCCUGCGCGCUCUGCGGGCCGCGGUCCCGCGGCUAUUGGGUCACCAGCGUUACCCCGGCAGCUCCCCCACUUGACCAGGCACCCGGAUCUUCCUACGCCAGGCCCCGCGGGACUCCUCCUGACUCCCAAAUCAGGAUUCUCCCAGCUGAAAGCCUAUCUGUUCCAAUGUCACCCUGGUGCCACCUCUAGGACCACAUUUCAGCUCCUUCUGGGACCCCUCUGUGCCUGAAGGCCCAUGCAGUCCAUCAGCAGGUCCCAAGCCACAUGCAGCCACGUCCACCCUCCUCCCUUCUGGCCAGCUCUGCUCCCUAUCGUGGCUCUGAGUGACAGCAGGGCCCUCCUGGUGUACCAUCAUGGGCUCCAACCUCUCUCGUCCCCAAGUCCUGCCCCUUCCCGCUGGGCCACGUUCUUUCCAUCUGGCCUCUUUGCACUACCACCACCGUCAUUAUGCCAUCUCUUCCCUGGACAGAAUCACGGCCCCUUCCCCUGGCUCCCUGACUCGUCUCCUUCUGAACACCCUGCACGUGUAACCAGCAACUAGUUCUGCAGUCAGCCGUCCAGUCACCACCCAGCCCGUCCAGAACCUUCAAGGAUUCCCGAGAGCCUAUCCAGGUUCAGACUCCAUCUCCAUUCCCAUUUUUGUGCUGCAGUCACUAGGUGCCCCUGGACUCUGGGUUGGCUUUAGCCUGGCAUUCAGGGCCUCCCAGGCCUGCUUCCUUCCCACAAUACUGCUGCCAACCUGAGCCACUCCUGACCGCUGGACCCUUCCCUGCAUCAGAAAUGUCCUCCCCACCUCGUCCACCCCAGUGCUGGAGGCCCAGCUCAAAAGCCAUUUCCUUCGGGACUCCUUGGGGCCCUGAGUCCUUGCCAGCAGAGCCCUGCAUGGAAAGGGCAGCAGCGACAUCACCCAUGGGGGCCUAGACAGCAGAGGUGUGCGGAGAAAGUUGAACAUUGCCUCUGGGUAUGUGAAGCCUGGUGCUGGGGGAUUGCUCAGGCUUCAGGGACCUCUACUGGAGGCUGAGCUGCAAGGCCAGGGGUUAGGCUGAAGCCAGAGGCUGAGGCCGGAGGCUGCGUGUGUGGCCCCCAGGGCAGAGGUGUUCAUCUGUCCACAGCAGUGCCCUCAGUGUGGGCCCCAGCGGGCUAGAUGCCCGGCCAGUCCAAACGGGACACUAAGCACCAACCUGCAGGCACCUCCUCCUGCUUCCCAGGCAGUGGGCAGAAGACUCCCUUCUGGUC